UUUUGAGCAUACCAUGAAAGUGCAAAUGCUGGCUGUUCCACCUGAUCUUUCUACAAGAAAGCAAGUUGUCUGGCUAUCAGAUGGUAGAUACUCUGUGCAUAUGAUGUCUGUGGGUGAUCUAGAAUAUCCUAUGAGUGUCAACAAUGAAGAUGAAAACAAGGAAAAGACAAUGCAUAUGGCUGUAAUACAAGCAAUAUUUACUGGGGAAAAGAUUCAGAAAAUUGUACCUCUCGCUGCAGAUUCCAUUCUGAUUCUUUGUCAA